UACGUAGGUGACAAGCGUUGUCCGGAUUUACUGGGCGUAAAGAGCGCGCAGGCGGUCGAUCAAGUCGAGUGUGAAAGCCCCCGGCUCAACUGGGGAGGGUCAUUCGAUACUGAUCGACUCGAAGGCAGGAGAGGGUAGUGGAAUUCCCGGUGUAGCAGUGAAAUGCGUAGAUAUGCGGAGGAACACCGAUGGCGAAGGCAAUCCCCUGGACCUGUACUGACGCUCAUGCACGAAAGCGUGGG
rnacentral:rRNA from 1 species